rnacentral:tRNA from 1 species
GGCGGAAUGGUAAACGCACAAGACUAGGGAUCUUGCAACAUGAAGCAUGGGUUCGAAUCCCAUA